rnacentral:sRNA from 1 species
AUCAGCGGGAUUCGAACUGCGAAAGUGG